rnacentral:sRNA from 1 species
AAAUGAGGACACCCCUGUAGAGUGCACAGCGUUCACCUGGUGCCAGUGUGAUUGUAAUAGCUGGGGUUCCUGGGACCCUAGAGUAUCCACGAUGUGCAUGCACUUGAACUUCAGGAUACCCUAUUUCCCUCCGAGCUGCAAGAGCUCUGGCGAUUCUGGAUCCCUACUGUGUGUCAGUUUCUGGAAGCAUCUUCUCUCAUCUCCCCGUGAUGCCCAGGGGCUCCCCCAGCUUCUAGAAGCCACCACUUGUCCAGGGCACCAGCCCAGUCUGUUGUCAAGCCUGGAUUUGAUCCUAGGUCUGGCUGCUUCCGGAAUACUGAGACGGGCCUUUGCUGUUCCCUGAGCUUGCUGUCAGCAAACGUUUGAUGGACUUUCUGGCCGAGACCAGCCAGUGGAGCUGCUGAAUCCUGCCCGCGUGAACCACAUGCCCAGCACGGUGGAUGUGGCCACGGCGCUGCCUCUGCAAGUGGCCCCCUCGGCAGUGCCCAUGGACCUGCGCCUGGACCACCAGUUCUCACUGCCUGUGGCAGAGCCGGCCCUGCGGGAGCAGCAGCUGCAGCAGGAGCUCCUGGCGCUCAAGCAGAAGCAGCAGAUCCAGAGGCAGAUCCUCAUCGCCGAGUUCCAGAGACAGCACGAGCAGCUCUCCCGGCAGCACGAGGCGCAGCUCCACGAGCACAUCAAGCAACAGCAGGAGAUGCUGGCCAUGAAGCACCAGCAGGAGCUGCUGGAACACCAGCGGAAGCUGGAGAGGCACCGCCAGGAGCAGGAGCUGGAGAAGCAGCACCGGGAGCAGAAGCUGCAGCAGCUCAAGAACAAGGAGAAGGGCAAAGAGAGUGCCGUGGCCAGCACGGAAGUGAAGAUGAAGUUACAAGAAUUUGUCCUCAAUAAAAAGAAGGCGCUGGCCCACCGGAAUCUGAACCACUGCAUUUCCAGCGACCCUCGCUACUGGUACGGGAAAACGCAGCACAGUUCCCUUGACCAGAGUUCUCCACCCCAGAGCGGAGUGUCGACCUCCUAUAACCACCCGGUCCUGGGAAUGUACGACGCCAAAGAUGACUUCCCUCUUAGGAAAACAGCUUCUGAACCGAAUCUGAAAUUACGGUCCAGGCUAAAGCAGAAAGUGGCCGAAAGACGGAGCAGCCCCCUGUUACGCAGGAAAGACGGGCCAGUGGUCACUGCUCUAAAAAAGCGUCCGUUGGAUGUCACAGACUCCGCGUGCAGCAGCGCCCCAGGCUCCGGACCCAGCUCACCCAACAACAGCUCCGGGAGCGUCAGCGCGGAGAACGGUAUCACGCCCACCGUCCCCAGCAUCCCGGCGGAGACGAGUUUGGCGCACAGACUUGUGGCGCGAGAAGGCUCGGCCGCUCCACUUCCCCUCUACACAUCGCCAUCCCUGCCCAACAUCACACUGGGCCUGCCUGCCACCGGCCCUUCCGCUGGCACAGCGGGCCAGCAGGACGCCGAGAGACUCGCCCUUCCCACCCUCCAGCAGAGGCUCUCCCUUUUCCCCGGCACCCACCUCACUCCCUACCUGAGCACCUCGCCCUUGGAGCGGGAUGGAGGGGCAGCGCACAGCCCUCUUCUGCAGCACAUGGUCUUACUGGAGCAGCCACCGGCACAAGCGCCCCUCGUCACAGACUGGUAUCUUUCAGGCCUGGGAGCACUGCCCCUCCACGCACAGUCCUUGGUUGGUGCAGACCGGGUGUCCCCCUCCAUCCACAAGCUGCGGCAGCACCGCCCGCUGGGGCGGACCCAGUCGGCCCCACUGCCCCAGAACGCCCAGGCUCUGCAGCACCUGGUCAUCCAGCAGCAACAUCAGCAGUUUCUGGAGAAACACAAGCAGCAGUUCCAGCAGCAGCAACUGCACAUGAACAAGAUCAUCCCCAAGCCAAGCGAGCCAGCCCGGCAGCCAGAGAGCCACCCGGAGGAGACGGAGGAGGAGCUCCGUGAGCACCAGGCUCUGCUGGACGAGCCCUACCUGGACCGGCUGCCGGGGCAGAAGGAGGCGCACGCACCGGCCGGCGUGCAGGUGAAGCAGGAGCCCAUUGAAAGCGAUGACGAAGAGGCGGAGCCCCCGCGGGAGGUGGAGCCCGGCCAACGCCAGCCCAGUGAGCAGGAGCUGCUCUUCAGACAGCAAGCCCUCCUGCUGGAGCAGCAGCGGAUCCACCAGCUGAGGAACUACCAGGCAUCCAUGGAGGCCGCCGGCAUCCCCGUGUCCUUUGGCGGCCACAGGCCUCUGUCCCGGGCGCAGUCCUCACCCGCAUCUGCCACCUUCCCCGUGUCUGUGCAGGAGCCCCCCACCAAGCCGAGGUUCACGACAGGCCUCGUGUAUGACACGCUGAUGCUGAAGCACCAGUGCACCUGCGGGAGCAGCAGCAGCCACCCCGAGCACGCCGGGAGGAUCCAGAGCAUCUGGUCCCGCCUGCAGGAGACAGGCCUCCGGGGCAAAUGUGAGUGCAUCCGCGGACGAAAGGCCACCCUGGAGGAGCUGCAGACGGUGCACUCGGAAGCCCACACCCUCCUGUACGGCACGAACCCCCUCAACCGGCAGAAACUGGACAGUAAGAAACUUCUAGGCUCCCUGGCCUCCGUGUUCGUCCGGCUCCCCUGCGGUGGUGUUGGGGUAAGUGUUCCUUUAAUGUGUAAAUGAUGUCCUGUUUCUACUCGAGUCCCAGUGGUCACAGAAAUCGCAGCCUUGCUUCCCUCAAAGUGAAUAAUUGCUGCCAGGUGUUUUCCACACACAGAGUCUGGCGGGCA